CACCGCCCGUCACACCAUGAGAGCUGUUUGUACCCAAAGCUAUCUUAGCCAACUCGAAAGAGAGGCGGAUAACUAAGGUAUGGGAGUGAUUGGGGUG
rnacentral:rRNA from 1 species